ACCACGUGAUCAUCCACAAGAGCAGUGCAGGUUCGCUGAGAUAAGUAGGAACUGCCGAUGACGGAGAUUCCGAGACACUGAGGUGUAGAGCUGGGUGAAUAUAACAGGCCAAGAAGUAUCAGAGGAGCAGGAAAGCUGACGUUUUGUGCCUGGUCCCUUCGCUGAGACUAAGGUUUGUGCAAUUGAGAUACCAGCGAUCGUUGCCAAAGCCCUGUUACCUGUGGAGAAGGUCAUGUUUAACUUUUCCUGUGCUGCUGCAGUUCGUAUGAUGAAGGUGCUCCCACAAUUGUGGUCAUUUGAGAAGUUACAGAUCAUUCAUCUAGCGAUACUGAAGAGCUGAUGGUGAUUCGAACCCAGGUCCCCGGAAUGGUGUCUGGGUCUCUGGAUUAAUAAUCUGGCGAUAAUACUGUUUAUCAACUGAGGGAGGAUGGUCCAUGGCAUUCAACAGGAGCCAUGAGUCUUCCAGGCGUCAGAGUCAAUGUCGUAUUCCCAGGUCAAUUACUGCGAUCAGAAUAGCACUGUGCUGCCAUGUCUGUCCUGCUCCUGGGACAGGCCUUCACUACGGACCUUGAUGGUGGUGUGUGUCACUUGUCUAUAAGGAUAUUACAAGUGGACUUUCAGGUGGGGAAACUCAAUAAUUGUAACCCCAAACUCUGACAGAGUUCCUCACUUCAUCAACAUCUGGAUAUUUGCAUUGUGUUGACAAAGAAUGUUGAAGAAGACAAAACAAUGGACGUUUUCGAUAUGGGCUUCAGCAAGGCAUUCACCAAAACUCCACAUGACGGACAGGUUAGCAAGAUGAGAUCAAGUGGAAUCCAGGGAGACUGAGCUAUUUGAAACAAAAUUGGCUUGAAGGUAGGAAACAGGAUCGUGGUGGGUGUGUUGUAUUUUUUUCAGUCUGGAGGACUAUUAACAGCAGUGUGCUGCAAGGAUUGGUGCUGGCUUCACUGCUUUUUAUCAUUGAUACAACUCAUGUGGAAUGCAUAUUGGAGGAAUGGUUAGUAAGUGUGCAGAUGACGCAAAUUGUUUAUGCAGUAAACAGCAAAGAAGGUUGUCUCCAAGGACAAUCGGAUCUUAAUCAGAUGGGUCGAAUGGCCCAGGAGUGAUAGAAAUCAGUUUAGUUUGGAUAAAUGAGUGCUUUUGCAUUAUGGUAAUGAAAAUCACGGCAGGGCUGAAACACUUAUUGAUGAGGCCCUGGGGACUGUUACGCAACAGCGACUCCUUGAGGUGCACGUGCACAGUUCCUUGAAGGUGGAUUGCAGGUACAGAAGGUACUGAAGAUGAUAUUUGCUAUGCUUGCAUUAAUUGGUCAGUGCAUUGAGUGUAGGAGUUGGGAGGUCAUGUUAUAGGCUGAACAAGGCAUUGAUUAUGCUGCUUUUGGAAUACUGUGUUCAGUUCUGGUCUCCCUGCUAUAGGAAUGAUGCAGUUAAACUUAGCAGGGUGCAGGAAAGAUUUAGAAGGAUGUUGGAAGUUUUGAGCUGCAGGGAGAGGCCGAAUAUGCUGGGGCUAUUUUCCCUGGAGCAUUGAAGGCUGAGAGGUUACCUUAGAGGUUAAUAAAAUUAUGGUGGGCAUGGAGUGAGUAGCCAAGGUUGUUGACCUGGGGUUGGGGAGACUGGAACUAAACACAUUGGUUUAAGCUGAGAAGGAAAUUUUUUUAAGGGAAAGUGGGUGGUGCCUGUGUAGAAUGACCUGCCAGAGGAACUGGUGGAAGCUGGUACAAUUAUGACAUUUAAAAGGCAUCUGGAUGGGUAUGUCAAUAGGUUGGGUUUAGAGGAAUAUGGGUCAAUUGCUUGCAAAUGGGAUUAGAUUAAUUUGGGACAUAGGGUCAGCAUGGACAACUGGGAUGAAAGGGAUUGGUUUAUGCUGUACA